CCUAAAUGCAUUUAGCAUGUGAAAAGAUGUGUUUAGUAUUGUUCCAAGUUGUUACCUUUCGAAAAGAGAACGCAACAGGGAUAAUUUUUUCUUCGAAGCACGAGUUAACCACAAGGAAUCUCCAUGCUUUUGCACCGGGUGUGAAAUCAACUUUGAAAAAUUGACAUGGCUAUUGUUUUUGCUUUUCCUGCUCAAGACAACAAAGGGAUUGUUCAGGCUGAUUUGUGUUUGUGCAGACAGACCUCAAGGAACCUCUGCCGAAGAUUUACGUGGUGAAGGACUCGAACUGUAUCUCACGUCCACUCGGCCACACCUGGGUUGGCUGCCAACAGCCCUCUGAUUGAACAACUGCUCCGUCUAUCCGAGUCUCUGUCGGUCGGCUGUUCUUCUCGGACAUCACCAUACAGCUCCUCAGCAGCAAACUCAUGUGCUUCUCCACCAGAAUCAAUUCCCGAGCUGUUGAUAUCCCCUAUUCCUCUAAGGAUAUGCCCAUGGUGAAGCAAAAAAAAAUCAAGCUUUAUAAGCUCCGCGGCCUCAAGGCCAAUCCCCAGGUUGAUGCCACCGCUACUGACUUUGCCACAUCCCUAUUACAGUUUAAUUUUUAAUUUAUUAGAGAAACUGGAUCAGUGCUUGGGGCUGGUGUGCUACGGUUGGUUUAGGCAUGUGUCCAACAAGGCGGCGGCCACUAUAAGAUACUCUCCUGAGUUAGGACGGGUUUCGAAUUUGCUGCUAUUAUGAGAAAAAAUAAGAGAGAAAGGAAUGUGAUUUUUGCUGCUACUA